AACCCUCGAGCCCCGAGCAGAUCGAUCUCCCCCGCCGCCGGCCGAUCCAUCCCUACGCCCCCUCUCCCUCUUCUAGCGAUGCGGCGCCGCCCCAAUCUCCCACGCUGCCGCCGCCUACCGCCUUCCCCUAUCUCCCGCUCAGCCACCUCCACCCUUCUCUACAUCGCCAGAUCCACUUGCAGAUCGUCAAGGAAGCGGCUCCCGGGUCUGCACUCGUGCGGCCGUGAAGGAGGGUCUCGAGGUGGCCGCCGCCGAAGAUGAAGCCCCUCCCUUGUCCAGAAUCGCUUCCUCCACCGUGUUCCAUCGAGGAAGCAGGGGCAGCACAGAGAGGGUCCUCACGCAGUCGUGCGGUCGACCACGACGACGCGGCCGUAUGAUGGGUACCCUCGGACGCUGCUCUCCUGGGCCGGAGGAGUCCAGAUCUGGCACCUCACCAAGGUCGCCACCCACGGUCAGUGCACCUGCCUUCUGAAUCCCGGCCCGUCCAUCUUCUCCCCGCGUUCCAGCGACGGCGAACCCUAGAUGCGCCUCUCCUCGUCCCCAAGCUCCCUCCUCUCGAUUCUCCGUUGUGCGACUCCGCUCAGUCCGACGUCGUAGCUUCUUCUCCGACUCUGCGGUUGUAGGGCUUCAGUUGUGCCUCUUCUCACACUGAACCAGUCCAUUGGCGGAGUAGUCGAAGAAAGCAACACUGCACUAGCAAAAACAAGAACAAGGCACUCUGCCAGUGUGUGUGCAUGAUCCAGUAGCAUGCGUUUAAUAGUAGCCACCCUACUUGUCGUUGUUCAAAUGAAUGUAAAACAUCCUUCACAAGAUUCCAGUGCAGACAAUACUGAAGCACUAACACAAACAAGAUCCUUCUGAAGAUAGUCUCUGAAUGCAAAUGAUCGUGACUUCUGAAUUUGGAGCCAUGGCCCAUGUGUAGGCAAGGGCAAUGACCCCUUUUACUACUUGAGCGGUCCAACAGAGAUUAUUGAAGGUUGUUUCUAAAGUUGUGAUUGACUCGAACCAAAGGAAAGUUGGAGACUUCUUUAGUGUGAAUUGCUUGGAUUAAGUGGGAGUGAAGAUGUCCUUUCUAUCUAUAUCUGGUUCUAUUAUUGGCAAAUUUGUGCCUUCAAGAUUGCUGCUCGUGUUUGUGUUCUCGAGCUGAAAAUUUAGAUUAUUACCCUGUUUGGUCUCCUGAAUAUAAAUCAUGAUUCUUUGCAUCUCAAUUGCAGACCAGCAGACCUUUCCGUCCUCAUAUUCGCCGGAUUCGUUUUCUAUGAUCGAGCGUCCGAGCGGUUGCAUCUCGACGGCUGGUGCGCGCUCCAUUUCAGUAGUUAUACUAUAGUCCAGAAGUUUUUUGGGGUUCUACUUUUUUGAGUGAUUUUUCCAGUUCCCUUUAAUACUGAGUUGGCUUUAUACUAUGAGCAGUGAGCAAGUCAUGUAUAAAGCAAAAACAAAAAUUGGUCUGCUAUCAAAUGGUACAUUUAUUUGAACACAAAGGGCAAGAAAGGUUCAGGGUCUCGUGAAGAGGGCAUGUGUUUAUAUUAGGUGAGAUCUGAACUGAUUCUGACCAAUGUGAAAUUAAUAUUGUUGUUGAUGGAUCCGCAAUUAUUUUUAUGUGCACAGAAGUGCCGUAGUUGAGAAGCCUGAGAAGAAUAUAUCACUUAGGUACAGAUUCGAGCUAGGGUUUUUUCAUUUUCUCCUUCCAAUCCAUUUAUCAUGGGAUAAUUUGCCCAUAAAAGACAUACAUGAUGGUCGUCGUUGGACAGACUAUAUUUGUUUACUUCUACCCAUAAAUUUAAAGUCCUGAACAUGUAUAUUACACAUCUCUUGCAGGAUAUAUUAAUAUUAACCUAUGUGUGCGUUCCACUGCAUUCAUCUAUUUAAGUUCCACUGCAUUCAUUUAUUUAAGGCAUGAUAUUGGUAAGCUUGGUUCAAAUUGUGCCGCAUCUAUCUAUAUAAUGCACAAUAUUUCUAAGCUUGGUUCAGGUUGUUUCUGACAACCACUGGCAAUCUGUCCCUAUGUCAUUCCUCUUAUAUAUACAUGAGAACUGUCUACAUAGGAUCUUGCAAGCAGCACCAAAUCUUAUAUUAUGGGACGGAGUGAGUAUCUCAAAGAAGAAAUAUUUUUUUGAUGUAGGAAUAUCUGUAGGCUGAUUAUGCUUUGAUGUAUAGAUCGCAGUAGCAGGUAAAAUAUAAGUUCUUAGCCAGUUCAAUAGUACUUUGUUGAACAAUGCUCAAUUGACAUUAGGCUAAAACAUCGAGAAUACCUGAGGGGACAAGGCAAGUGUUGUUUGUAAGGACUCAUGUUAUGAUAUUGCAAAAUAGAUUAGACGGAAAAGUACAUAGCAUUGCCAUGGCAUAUUUAAAACUUCUAGAUCUGCUGUUCAUAGGAUGGCAUCCACAAAAUCCUUUCUACCAUGUGCGUGUGUUUGUGUUAGAAUUGUUUCACACAAAUAGACAAAUUAUUUUCUAUGUGUAUGCUUCUCCUUUUAUCAACUUAUGAGAAAUUAUAUUAAUGGGGCAUGCUUUAUUUGCAAGAUAUAGAUGUCUUAACUUGAUAAAAGGACUUUAUAUUGAAUGUGUUUGUGCGACUGAAGAUGAGGCAUGCUUUAUUUAAAAAAUUAUAUUGAGUGUGUUUGUGGGACUUGAGAUGGAGGAUGGCUUGUGCUCUUGCUUGUGCAGUUACCACGGUGCUCCAGCCAUGAUGUAGAGGUAUUGUGGCGGCGGUAAUGUGUUCCAACUUGGACGGCGUUGCCCCCAUUCUGGUGUGCGGAGCUAGAGAUGUGUAGUGCUAUGGAUGAAAGUCAUGUCCAGCUUAGGUCUGUGCUGGUGGCGACGAUGCCUGUGGGUGCCGUUCCACUCCUUGGAGGUGUCGUCGAGGUGUGUCGGCAUCUUUCCCCUCACAUUGGUGUUUGGUGGUUGUCUCCGGGCGAAAGCCUAGGUUCAAGUUAGAGCUGGCGAUGGCAAUGUUCGUAUCGUCGUUUCUCUGUUGGGAGUAUCAUGUAUGGAGACACGACAUGCAGGUCCUGUGUUGUGAUCCUUUGGUGCUCAUUGCUACCCCAGGUUGAUCUUCAAGGGCUCUAUGUACGCUGCCGCUCAUGUGCCCAAGACGAUGCCUCCUCGAGUCCGACCAAGUCCUGUCACCUCCUCGCCGACAUGUCUUUUAGGCUUACAUGAGUGUAGUGCAUUGACCAUGGAAGUCUUGAUGGUGUCUUAUCUUCGGAGGCGUCCAGUGUCACUUGAAACACGACUGUCUUUCAGUUUAGGGUAGGCAUCUUGUGUUGUGGUUGUAAUGUGUGUGGUGACAUGUCUUGGGACUGCUAAGGUGUGGAGUUUGUGCUACGCUUGUAGUUUGUAACAAGGGUAGUCUUCUUGUAAUCUGCUUCUUCCUUUUAUAAAAAUAUGGUACGCCUAUGCGUACUCUCAAAGAUAAA